rnacentral:lncRNA from 1 species
AAGGCAUGAUAAUAUCUUAUUUAUCAAUUUUAUAGUUUGAAUGUAUGUAUUGCUGCCUUAUGUGAUCACCGUUUAGUUAGAAAAUUGAGAUAUGAUUGUAUUCCCUUAUGCAUGUUUGUUUGCUUGUGUAAUUAUGGUUGAUUUGGAAAAUGGAGACUAACGAAAAAUGAAAAAGUUGUGUGAGAAGAUGAAUAAAUGAAUAUGGCAGCCUUACUGGAUAUCCUAAGAGAUGGUGGACGGACCGGGUACAUAAAAAAUCCUACCGUGAACGUUGUCGCACACUAGACGGGGUAUGGAGACAUGAUAAUUUGGUGCUCACAUUAGACGAGGUAUGGGGACGACCCGCUUUAUCCUC